rnacentral:rRNA from 1 species
GACGAACGCUGGCGGCGCGCCUAACACAUGCAAGUCGAACGAGCGAGAGAGAGUUUGCUUUCUCGAGCGAGUGGCGAACGGGUGAGUAACGCGUGAGGAACCUGCCUUGUACAGAGGGAUAGCAGCUGGAAACGGCUAUUAAUACCUCAUGAAGCCGAUCCAUCGCAUGAAGGAACGGCCAAAGAUUUAUCGGUAUGAGAUGGUCCUGCGUCUGAUUAGCUGGUUGGUGGGGUAACGGCCUACCAAGGCGACGAUCAGUAGCCGGCCUGAGAGGGUGUACAGCCACAUUGGGACUGAGACACGGCCCAA